GAUGAAGAACGUAGCGAAAUGCGAUAAGUAAUGUGAAUUGCAGAAUUCAGUGAAUCAUCGAAUCUUUGAACGCACAUUGCGCCCGCCAGCACUCUGGCGGGCAUGCCUGUUCGAGCGUCAUUUCAACCAUCAAGCCCCCAGGGGCUUGUGCUGGGGCCCUGCGGCUGCCCGCAGGCCCUGAAAACCAGUGGCGGGCUCGCUAGUCACACCGAGCGCAAUAGCACAUCUCGCUCAGGGCGUGCGGCGGGCUCCUGCCGUGAAACCCCCCACUGUAACCCCAAAGGUUGACCUCGGAUCAGGUAGGAAUACCCGCUGAACUUAAGCAUAUCAAUAAGCGGAGGA
rnacentral:misc_RNA from 1 species